rnacentral:rRNA from 1 species
AUUGAACGCUGGCGGCAGGCCUAACACAUGCAAGUCGGACGGUAGCACAGAGGAGCUUGCUCCUCGGGUGACGAGUGGCGGACGGGUGAGUAAUGUCUGGGGAUCUGCCCGAUAGAGGGGGAUAACCACUGGAAACGGUGGCUAAUACCGCAUAACGUCGCAAGACCAAAGAGGGGGACCUUCGGGCCUCUCACUAUCGGAUGAACCCAGAUGGGAUUAGCUAGUAGGCGGGGUAAUGGCCCACCUAGGCGACGAUCCCUAGCUGGUCUGAGAGGAUGACCAGCUACACUGGAACUGAGACACGGUCCAGACUCCUACGGGAGGCAGCAGUGGGGAAUAUUGCACAAUGGGCGCAAGCCUGAUGCAGCCAUGCCGCGUGUAUGAAGAAGGCCUUCGGGUUGUAAAGUACUUUCAGCGGGGAGGAAGGCGAUAAGGUUAAUAACCGCAUUGAUUGACGUUACCCGCAGAAGAAGCACCGGCUAACUCCGUGCCAGCCGCCGCGGUAA